CUCAGGACUCACUUGUUUGGGGCUGAUACCUCUUAUUCUUUGCUUGGACAGGUUGACCGGGACUGCUCUGGGUUCUAUUCUGUUGAGCGGAAUCUGCCGGCGAUCACUGUGCAGUGUGAAGAUGUGGAUCAGGAGCUUGCCCGUGUCACCCGAUUCGCGCCAAUUGCACUGUUGCUGAGAGGAGUCUUAAGAGGAGCUCGCCUCUGGAGCGCUACCCGCAACUAACCACUAACCGCAAGCUGUGUCCGGUGAUGGAGAGGGAGAGCAAAACCCUUGGAUGCUGGAAGUGAAGGGCUUUGUGCUGUCUCUUUGCCUCAGUCUUCAGAGAGGGACCGCAGAGAGCCGGUGUGAUUGCUGGAUCAGGACCCUUCUCCAUCCAUUCCUUUCUAUUGCUGUGAUGGUGUCUCUCUGGUGUGUGGGUUGCCACUCUUCCUUCCUUCUGGCCGGCGCCUUCUCUGUUCCCCUUCUUGCUACCGUGAGAGCCGGACAUUGUUUCCUGCAUCUCCACCCAUCUUAGUGAAGCUUGCUAGUUUCGAAUGCUGCCUCUGCUCUAUCCUGUCUCGAAUGGAGUUCCUUACAAUAAAGGACUCGUGUUUGCUGCCAUAAAA